GGGGAUGUAGCUCAAAUGGUAGAGCGCUCGCUUUGCAUGCGAGAGGCACGCGGGGUUCGACCCCCCGCAUCUCCA